CAUUUUGGCCCCAGAGGUGUUUCUGGGAAGUAGAUCGCCGAACCGCACGCCUGCUGGCCUGCCGGGUGCGGCCUCUUGUGUCGCGGCUUUUAGUGUUUGCGACUGCUGCUGCUGCGGUUUUAUUCUCCUCAUCCUCGAAACCGUCUAGUCGAGCGGGAGCCUCUGAGCACUGGGCCGCGCCAUUGGGGUUCACACCGCCAGGAAGGAGGUGACGGGGGCGGCGCGGGGCGCGGACACUCCCCGCCGAGAGCCCGCCUGCCAUGGAUUCGGAAUAUUACAGCGGCGACCAGUCAGCAGAUGAUGGUGGCGCUACCCCAGUACAGGAUGAACGGGAUUCAGGGUCAGACGUUGAGGAUGAUGUAAAUGAGCAACACUCUGGAUCAGACACUGGAAGUGUAGAACGUCAUUCAGAGAAUGAACCUAGUGAUCGAGAGGAUGGCCUCAACAAAAGACAUCAUGUGACGGAUUCUGAGAAUGAUGACCCCUCAAACCUUAAUGCCAGUGACUCUGAAAGUGAGGAGCUUCAAAGGCAAAAGGACAGUGACUCUGAAUCUGAGGAGCAUGCAGAGCCUGUUGCAAGUGAUUCUGAAAAUGAGGACACUCAUCAGCGUGCGAGUGACUCUGAGAGUGAGGAGACCAGGAAGCUACCUGUCAGUGAUUCGGAAAAUGAGGACCUUCUUAAUGGGCACGCAACUGAUUCAGAAAAUGAAGAUGUUAGAAAGCAUCCUGCCAGUGAUUCAGAGAUGGAAGAGCUCCCCAAAAGUCCUGCUAGUGACUCUGAAACAGAGGAUGUUCUAAAACCUCAAAUCAGUGACUCCGAGAGUGAGGAGCCCCCACAGCACCAGGCCAGUGAUUCCGAAAACGAGGAGCUUCCCAAGCCUAGAAUUAGUGAUUCGGAAAGUGAGGAGCUUCCUAAGCCUCGGGUCAGUGACUCGGAGAGUGAGGAGCCUCAGAGGACUCAGGCCAGCGACUCGGAAAAUGAGGAGCUUCCCAAACCCCGUGUCAGUGACUCAGAAAGUGAGGACCCACCACGGCACCAAGCCAGCGACUCAGAAAAUGAGGAGCUUCCCAAACCCCGUGUCAGUGACUCGGAAAGUGAGGGACCCCCACGGCACCAAGCCAGCGACUCAGAAAAUGAGGAGCUUCCCAAACCCCGUGUCAGUGAUUCGGAAAGUGAGGACCCCCCAAGGAACCAGGCCAGUGAUUCAGAAAACGAGGAGCUUCCCAAGCCCCGAGUCAGUGACUCUGAGAGCGAGGAGCCUCAGAAGGGACCCGCCAGUGAUUCCGAAACUGAGGAUGCCUCCAGGCACAAAGAGAAGCCAGAGUCGGACGAGGACAGCGAUGGGGAGAACAAGGGAGAGGAUGCAGAAAUGCAGAAGGACUCCUUUCGUUCAGAUAGCCAUAUAGACAGAAAAAGGAUCCAGAGUUCAGACAGUGAGGAGGAGGAACCCAAAAGGCCAAAAAUUGACAGUGACGAAGAUGAAGAAAAAGUCGGGGAAGAGGAGAAAGUAGCAAAGCGAAAAGCUGCUGUGCUUUCUGACAGUGAAGAUGAAGAGAAAGCAUCAGCAAAGAAGAGUCGGGUUGUCUCUGAUGCAGAUGACUCUGACAGUGAUGUUGUAUCAGAUAAACCAGGCAAGAGAGAGAAGACUCUAGCUUCUGACAGUGAAGAAGAAGCAGGAAAAGAAGAAUUGUCUGAUAAGAAGAACGAAGAGAAGGAUCUGUUUGGGAGUGAUAGUGAGUCGGGGAACGAAGAAGAAAAUCUUAUUGCAGACAUAUUUGGAGAAUCUGGUGAUGAAGAGGAAGAAGAAUUUACAGGUUUUAACCAAGAAGAUUUGGAAGAGGAAAAAAGUGAAACCCAGGUAAAAGAAGCAGAAGAUUCAGAUUCUGAUGAUAACAUAAAGAGAGGAAAACAUAUGGACUUUCUGUCGGAUUUCGAGAUGAUGUUGCAGCGGAAGAAGAGCAUGAGCGGCAAGCGCAGACGGAAUCGUGAUGGCGGUACUUUCAUCAGUGACGCCGAUGACGUAGUGAGUGCCAUGAUCGUCAAGAUGAAUGAAGCUGCUGAGGAAGACAGACAGUUGAACAAUCAAAAAAAGCCAGCACUGAAAAAAUUAACAUUAUUGCCGACUGUGGUCAUGCACCUUAAGAAGCAAGACCUUAAAGAAACAUUUAUUGACAGCGGUGUGAUGUCUGCCAUCAAAGAAUGGCUCUCCCCUCUACCGGAUAGGAGUUUGCCAGCACUAAAGAUUCGAGAGGAGCUGUUGAAGAUUCUACAAGAGCUACCUAGUGUGAGCCAGGAGACCCUGAAGCAUAGUGGGAUUGGACGAGCAGUGAUGUAUCUCUAUAAACACCCCAAGGAAUCAAGGUCCAACAAGGAUAUGGCAGGGAAAUUAAUCAAUGAAUGGUCUCGGCCUAUAUUUGGUCUUACCUCAAACUACAAAGGUAUGACAAGAGAAGAAAGAGAGCAGAGAGAUCUAGAACAAAUGCCUCAACGACGGAGAAUGAACAGCACUGGUGGCCAGACACCCCGAAGAGACCUGGAAAAGGUGCUGACAGGAGAAGAAAAAGCUCUCAGACCUGGAGAUCCUGGAUUCUGUGCCCGUGCGAGGGUCCCCAUGCCCUCAAACAAGGACUACGUUGUCAGACCUAAGUGGAAUGUGGAAAUGGAGUCAUCCAGGAUCUCAGGCUUUAACUACGUGCUGGGCAGACAAGCAAGGAAGACAUCGUGAGCAGAAGAAGCAAUGUAUCACAAGGAUUGGAACUCCCCCAGGUGUAUCCAGGAAAUUACAAUGAUUCCAGGAAAUGUGAGACAAGAUGAGUGGCUUCCACAACCCCACCUGGAUUCACAGCCACAGUGAGCUCUCUUAUCCAUCAAAUGUGACUGGAAGCUUGAUAUGGACCCAUUUCAGCCCAGCCGUGCCUGCAGCUCACAGCACUCGCUAAGUGUCCAGGUGAAUCUGGCCGGGUCUCCUGACCAUCACCCCUGCGGGAGGCCUUCCUUCUCUUCAGAGUGGUAGCUAGCACAAAGCACCUUGGCCAAGUGCCCAUGUGCACACAGGAGGACCCAGGGGAGAGGGCCAAGGUCAGACGGAGAGCCCCAGCCACUCACUAUCUUUGUUCUCCCCUCCUUGGUCAGCAGUGUCCCAGGUUCUGGUUGGGAAGGCAGAGGGGAAGAAUGACUUUGCCUCAGACCGCCUCCCAGCUCAGGCAGUGUAGGGCCGUGCGUUAUUGAGGUAGGACUCUUCAUGGUGGUUUUCUUGUCAUUCAGGAAUUGUCAUUCAUCUGCUCAUUCAGGAAUUUGUUGAGAUCACUUUCAGUGGAGGAACGGGAACAAGGAUGGAUGUGCCAAGAGAGGGUGCUUUGGGGUCAUAUGACCCCAAGUCCUAUUCCCCUUCUGCCACCUGUGGGCUAUGUGGUCUAGGGCAAAGUCACUUUAGCUCACUAAGCUUUGGUUUCCUCCUCCUGAGGGCAUCGAUGCCCACUGCACAGAGAGGUCAUAGGGGCGCAAGUGCUCAGAAGGAUGCCCAGCACACAGUAGGUAGCUUAAUAGGUAGGGCUACCUCAUUGUGAUUUUUCAGUUUCCUCUGUGUUUCAGUCUCACUGCUUAAUUUAACAUUGGAUUUGGUGAUAUGUGGCUUCACAUUUCCUUUACCUCAGCUAGCAGCUGAGGAUUACGUGCUCAGGCUCUGGAGUUUGCCCAGACCUAGUCUCAAAUCCUGGCUCCGCCAGCACACUCACUGUUUGACUUCACCUGAGUAACUACCGAUUGGUCCCCGUGGGGAUGAUGGUGGCGCACCCCACCCCCUUGUAGAGAGGUUGUUAGAAGGAAAUAGGAUCGUGCAUGGGCAUUGCUUGGUACAUGGGAAAUGCUCAAGUAUCGGUGUUCAUCUUGUGAAUAUUGCCACCCUGAGAAGGCACAUUCUUAUUCCAAAAUUGGGCACUUGCCAUUGUUCAAACUAUUCAACAAAUCUUGACAUUAGCUUCUGAGUCUUUUGAAUGCCCAUAAUGGUAAGAAACUUUCAAGAAAGAGCAGGUUUGGGGGAAGACUGAGAAGGUAUUCAGAGGCAAAUCUGCUGAUUGACAUGGCUGGUGAAUUAAGAUAAUUAUCUUUCCAGUCAAAAACAUUGUGUUUCUUGUAACCCAUGCAAAUGCGUGCACAAGAGGCCUUCCAGCAGUGUGGGCAGAGGCCUCCAGAGGCGCGACUUGGUUCAUUACCACUCACUCGUUACUGUUAUUUUUUAAUUGGAAAGUGAAACCUGCCCAUGCUUAAAAAAGAAACAUCUCAAAGAAUAAAAGUGAAAAAAUCUCUCUACCACACAGAGGCAGUCUACAGUUUCCAACUCUCCUCAAGGAGAGUGGAAUGUGGCUAUAUAUGGUCCCUUUCAAAACAGCAAAUGGGGGCCCAGCAGGCACACUGUUCUGCACCUUUUUCUUCCCUCUCAUGAAGCUCUCCUGAGGGUAUGGCUUUCAAGGACUUCCCUCUACAGAGAGGCACAGACUAUUGAAGAAAUGCCCAGGGAAGGCCUUUGGGACUCCCCAGAUUCUUAAACACUGUGGUGGCCGGUAACUGGCCCUGCUCCUCGCUCUGACGUGCCUAUUUGUCAGCUCUCUCACUUUAAAUCAUUUUCCAUUCACUUCCUUAGCCAGCGCUAAUAGUUGGACUUCUGGAGGGAGAGAGAGGGAGGAAGGGAAGGAGAGAGGGAGAAGAUAAAUUGAGGGAGAAAGAAAGGGAAGAGAGGAGAGGGAGAGGAAAGGUGGGGCAGGGAGGGUCUUUCACCCAUGGCCAUCUGGUUGUUAUGAAUUGAACUGUGUUCCGGGAAUGCAAGCUGGUAGAGCCACUCUGGAAAACAGUAUGGAGGUUCCUCAAAAAACUAA